rnacentral:rRNA from 2 species
UUGCUCCUUGGGUGGCGAGUGGCGGACGGGUGAGGAAUACAUCGGAAUCUACUUUUUCGUGGGGGAUAACGUAGGGAAACUUACGCUAAUACCGCAUACGACCUACGGGUGAAAGCAGGGGAUCUUCGGACCUUGCGCGAUUGAAUGAGCCGAUGUCGGAUUAGCUAGUUGGCGGGGUAAAGGCCCACCAAGGCGACGAUCCGUAGCUGGUCUGAGAGGAUGAUCAGCCACACUGGAACUGAGACACGGUCCAGACUCCUACGGGAGGCAGCAGUGGGGAAUAUUGGACAAUGGGCGCAAGCCUGAUCCAGCCAUACCGCGUGGGUGAAGAAGGCCUUCGGGUUGUAAAGCCCUUUUGUUGGGAAAGAAAUCCAGCCGGCUAAUACCUGGUUGGGAUGACGGUACCCAAAGAAUAAGCACCGGCUAACUUCGUGCCAGCAGCCGCGGUAAUACGAAGGGUGCAAGCGUUACUCGGAAUUACUGGGCGUAAAGCGUGCGUAGGUGGUCGUUUAAGUCCGUUGUGAAAGCCCUGGGCUCAACCUGGGAACUGCAGUGGAUACUGGGCGACUAGAGUGUGGUAGAGGGUAGCGGAAUUCCUGGUGUAGCAGUGAAAUGCGUAGAG